GGGGCUGCGGACGGGAUUGCGGCCGCAGCGGCAGCGACUGCGUAUGCAGCAGUUAUGUCUGCGAGAGAAGGGAGGAAGGAAGGUAGUGCGGUGGAAGGGGCUGCGAUUGUAGCAGCGGCAACGGCGGCGGCUGUGGCAGCUGCGUUUGGGAAAGAAAAAGAAGGAAUGAGAGUAAGAGAGAGCAGGUGACUGUGCCUCGAUGUUCGACACGUGGUGUAGUUGCGAAGAAAGGAAGAAAACGGGAGCACAAAACGAAACAGAGAGAGGACACGGAGGAAAAGUAGAAGGAUUUGGGCUGGCACCUUCUUUGGAUCUUCGGAUCGAAAUCUUUGAAAGGUCAGCUUGUCACUCUUCGAGAUGUUUGAUUUGGGCUGAGGCAGUGGAUAGCUAUUCAGAAUAAUGGGCAAGUCUGGUUGGUUAUUACGAUAUUGUUGUAUAAGUAUGUCUUGUAUAUAAUGAAAUGUUGUCGAUGAACCGAAAUAGAUAUACUGUGUCCAAGUGUUAGGAGAUCUCUCUUAUUUGGAAUUUCAGAAUGUUAAGUCUAAUUUAUGGUGAUAUGAACUUGUGGUGAAUAGUUGGAGUUCUGAUUGUAUAAUUUAUUUAGCUUGUGGAUUUAUAAAUGUUGUUCAUGUUUGUCAAGUUGGCUUGGGUUGCCAUAAAUGUGAAUUAUCGAGUGAUGUGAUAUAUGAUUAUAAACUGCACAGGUUUUAUGGAUGUGAAUAUGAAUAGAAUGUUUUCAGUGUCCUCAAACGUUAGUUUGGAUCCUGGAUUGGUCUACGGUGAAGAUUUUAAAAAUCAUGGAUAUUUUGAGGGGCGUGACAGAGGUGGUAUCAGAGCCAGGUUUCGAUCCUGGGACCUGUGGGUUAUGGGCCCACCACGCUUCCGCUGCGCCACUCUGAUUCAAUAUCCCCAAUCAAUCCUUUCAUUCCCCUUAAUUAAUCAGAAACAAUGAAAUAGGAGGACCAAAUGUCCUCAUCAUCCCAGAUUCCUAAAAUACAUCAAAGAAAAUUUCCACCAAUCACUAUAGUUCAUUAGACCUCAAUAUAUUUUGCACGUCAACAUAUCAAAUAUUUGGCUUAAUAUUUCAUCAUGGGGUGCUCCGGUGUUAGUUAAAAGAAAUGUAUGGAACAUUGAGGCUUUGUAAGGAUUAUAGACAGUUGAAUUAGGUGACCAUAAAAAAAGAGUAUUUUCUGAAGUAACGACUUGCUCGAUUAAUUACAGGGUACGCAAGUAUUUUUAGAAAUUGAUUGAAGGUCGGGUUACCGUCUAUUGAGGAUCAAGGAGGAGAAUAUUUCGGUCACUCGUGGAUAAUUAUGUAAUUGUAUUUUAUUGAUGAAACUAUUUAAGAGUAGGAGGAGGAAAUAAAGAUAUCAUAAUCCUCAUCUUUUCAUCGAUUGAGCUAUGAUCAAUUUAGAGGACUAAAUUUUCUUUUAAGGGGGGGAGAGUGUAAUAUCCCUCGCUUUUAAAAAUUAUUAAUAAAGAUUUAUAUGUAAAUUGGAGGACCUAUAUGUAAAUAUAGAAAUUACAAGGACUAAACUGUUAAGUUGCAAAAAAAGAAAAAAAAAGGGAAAACCGAAAAUUCGGUAUUAUCCCACCGCCUCCCACGCACUCUGUUUCUUCCAGAAACAGAGAGAGCGGUGGGGCGUGAGGAGAAGGAGAGUGGUAGAAGAAGAGAGGAAGAAGAGGGAGAAGAGAAGAAGAAGAAGAAGAAGAAGAAGAAGAGGGAAAAGAAGAGAGGAGGAAGAAGAGGGAGUAGAGAAGAAGAAGAAGGAGAAGAAGAAGAAGAGGAGGUGGCUGCAGUGAGGGCUGCAGCGAGAAGCUGUGGGGCGUGGGGAGAAGAAGAAGAAGAAGAAGAAGAAGAAGAAGAAGAAGAAGAAGAGGGAAAAGAAGAGAGGAGGAAGAAGAGGGAGUAGAGAAGAAGAAGAAGGAGAAGAAGAAGAAGAGGAGGUGGCUGCAGCGAGGGCUGCAGCGAGAAGCUGUGGGGCGUGGGGAGAAGAAGAGAGGAAGAAGAGGGAGAAGAGAAGAAGAAGAAGAAGAAGAAGAGAAGAGGAUAGCUGCGGCAAGGCUGCAGCGAGGAGGUGUGUGGGGUUGGGGAGGAAAAGGGAAGAGGAGAAGAAGAGGGGAAAAGAGAGGCAGCUGCAGCAGCCAGGGCUGCAGCACCUCUGUUUCCCGCAGGUGGAAACAGAGGAGAGGAUGUGUGGGGCGUUGAGGAUGAAAAGGGAAGAAGAAGAAGAAGAAGAAGAAGAAGAAGAAGAAGAAGAAGAAGAAGAUAGCUGCGGCAAGGCUGCAGCGAGGAGAUGUGUGGCCUUGGGGAGGAAAAGGGAAGAGGGGAAGAGGAGAAGAAGAAGAAGAGGAAGAGAAAGAGGUGUGAUACCUCUGUUUCCUGCAGAGGAAACAGAGGAGAGGGUGUGUGUGACGCCGGGGAAGAAGGGGCUGCAGCUGCGGCGAUGGCAGCUGCAGCUGGAAGAGAAGAAGAAGAGGAAGAUGAGCAGGGGAGGAGGGAGAGGUUGCGGCCGUGGCUGCGGCCGCGACUGCAGCAGUUGCAGCGGGGAGAGAAGAAGAAGAAAGGAAGGAGAAGGAAGAGGAGAAGGGAAAGAAGUAGCUGCGGCUGCGGUUGUGGCAGCUGCAGCUAUGGCAGGGAAAGAGGAAGAGAAAAAGGAAAGGAAGAAGAAGAGAAAGGGAAGGAGAGGAAGAAGAGAGGAAGAGGAGAAGGGGCUGCGGCUGCGGCGAUGGCAGCUGCAGCUGUGGCUGGGAAAGAAGAGAAGGAAAGGAAGAAGAAGAGAAAGGGAAGGAGAGGAAGAAGAGAGGAAGAGGAGAAGGGGUGGCAGCUGCAGUUGGAAGAGAAGUAGGAGAGGAAAUAGAGUAGCAGAGGAAGAAGUGGCUGCGGUUGUGGUGGCUGCGGCCAUGGCUGCGACUGCGACUGCGACUGCGGCAGUUGCAGCUGGGAAAGAAAGGAAAGGAAAGGGGGAAAAAGGGGCUGCGGACGGGAUUGCGGCCGCAGCGGCAGCGACUGCGUAUGCAGCAGUUAUGUCUGCGAGAGAAGGGAGGAAGGAAGGUAGUGCGGUGGAAGGGGCUGCGAUUGUAGCAGCGGCAACGGCGGCGGCUGUGGCAGCUGCGUUUGGGAAAGAAAAAGAAGGAAUGAGAGUAAGAGAGAGCAGGUGACUGUGCCUCGAUGUUCGACACGUGGUGUAGUUGCGAAGAAAGGAAGAAAACGGGAGCACAAAACGAAACAGAGAGAGGACACGGAGGAAAAGUAGAAGGAUUUGGGCUGGCACCUUCUUUGGAUCUUCGGAUCGAAAUCUUUGAAAGGCAAGGUUACACUUCCUGAAUGUGAUAAUUCUAGGGGUGUGACAAUUGCAGCUAGAAGAGAAGAACGGGAGGGAAGAAGAGGAAGAGGGGAAGGUGGCUGCGGUAGCUGUGGCAGCGAUGGUGGCUUCAGUAGCUGCUUUUGGGAAAGAGAAAGAAAGGAAAGGGAAAAAAUAAGGGGCUACGGCCAUGAUUACGGCAGCGGCGGUAGCGGCUGCAUUUGCAACAGCUGUGUCUGCGAAAGAAGAGGAGAAAGAAGGUAGUGCGGUGGAAGGGGCUACGACUGUGGCAGCGACAGUGGCGGUGGCUACGACAACUGCAAUUGGGAAAGAAAAAAAAAAGAAGGAAUGAGAGUAAGGGAGAGCAGGUGAAUAUGCCCCUAUGUUCUACACGAGCUACAGUUGUGGAGGAAGAAAGAAGAUUGGUGUAGAAAAUGAAAAUAGGGAGAGGAGACAGAGAAAAAUAGAAGAAGGAUUCUUGCGUACAUCUUCUUCGGAUCUUCGGACCAAAAUCUUCGAAAGGCAAGUGUCCCGAUCUUUUCUCCUACAAGUGUUCUAAUCUCAUCCUAUAUCAAUAUUAGUCUUUGUUCUUAUAUUAAUUCUGAAUAAUCUGAAAGAUUUUUGUUUAGAACUUGAUAUUUCUCUUGUUAGACACAAAACCAUAGAUCUGGAAUUUUUCGGUAAACUGACCCCUAUAAAUUAUUUUAGCCUUCAUUUUUAGCACUAAAUAUGGAUUUAGGCAGGACCUCAUUUGAAAUUAGACUCUUAUACCUUUCUUUUGACACUUAUAUUAAAAAUUUUGGAUACCGAAUACUUACCCAAACUUCUGUUUCAAAUGAGCCUAUGGAUGCUACAAAACAGGGAUCAACAUUUCUGACCUUUCGAUACUAAAAUGCCUACAAGUCCUUGUUAGAAAUUCUGAUUUAUACUAAACUGACUUCAUUUGAAACUAGACUUGUAGCUCUUUCUUUUAAUAUCUAGAUUGAAAAUUUUGAAAUUCAAAAGCCUAUCCUGUUAUCUAUUGAAUGUAACCCUAUAAAUUCUACAAAAUAGUGAUUUUAUUUUUGACCUUUGGUUACUGAAUCAUUGGUAACUCCUUGUUGGAAAUCUUGAUUCAUACAAAACUUAUUUCAUCAGAAAAUAAAUUGAUAUAUCUUUCAACAAUAGCUUUCUUGAGGGUAUUGGAGCAUAAUUAAUAAUCUAAAGUAUUUGUUCAAUGUGCCUCUCGAACUCUAUUAGAAAUCGAGCUUUGGUCGAAUUCGCAUAUUCUGGUUUCAUUCAUUUGGAAAUGGAUUUCAUUCAGUUCCUUCACUGAAUUGAGGUUUAUAUUAAUGCUUGAAUUCUAGUUUGCUUUUGUCUGUAAGUUAUUUAUAUUCUUGAAACAUUUUGUGUAACAUUUAUGCUAUAUCAUAUGGACUCAUAUAGGCACAUAUAUAUCCCAUUAUUCUAGAUUUCCUUUCGAUACAUGUCUAUUCCAGUUUUAUUCCUUUGGAUAUUGAAUUCAUCUAAUUUCUUAUUUGAAUUGAGCUAUAUAUGAUUGCUUGGAAUCUGUGUGUACUCUUGCUUUCAUUUCCUAUCAAAUUUGAAUACAUUUGUGAAAGAUUAUUGCUUGCAUCGCAUUGACUCGUAAAGGCACAUGUACGUUUUGUUGUUCCGCGUGUGCUUCCGAUAUGUGUUAUUUAUUAUUCAUACUGCCCUUUUGUACUCUGGUGUUGUGGGAUAAUGUAAACUUUUGCCAGAAAUGGUAAAGGGAGUUAUACAUAGAGCAUGCGAUGCUCUACCGACCCCCUCUAACUUCACCUAGAUGUGGGUGGAUGGAGCUCCCACACGUGGGAGACUUAUGUCUGGUUGUCAUUCAUGUUGAAUCUCGUAUUUUGAUGAUGAAACCAAUUGAUAAUUGUGUUUAUAUUUUAAUCUACAUUUUGAGUGACAUAGGAUGCUUCGAUCAGGAUGAGACAAUUAAAGUAGGAAAAAUCAUGUUGGGCCAAAGGAACAGGUCAGAAGAUUGGACGUCGGGCCGAUGGAUCGGUCGAUGUAUCCAUAGAAGGCUUCAGGCUGUGGACUCAGGCAACGGGCCAAGAAGAUUGAGUAUUGUGCCAAGGAUAUCAAACUUGCGGAGUCAACUGGCCGAUUGGGCAAUAGGCCGUAGGAGAGGACGAUAUAUCGAAGAAUCGAACAAAGCGUCGAGGGACCAAUGACAUGCCAGACAACUUGGUUAAUUGCUUAGGAUUAAUUAUCUCGAUCAAAAUUUUAUUUUACAUGUGCAGGAUUAACUACGAUGGAAGUAAGACAUGCAACAGGAGUUGUGCCGGAGUCAAGACUAUGAUCACGUUGGGAGUUCGAGAGUUCGAUGGAAGUCUGGACGGUCGUCGGAGGUUCUGCGGGAACAAAUCCGUGAAGUCCAGGAGCUUGCCAAAGAAGCUCAUCGGAACUCGCCAAGUGGAUCAUCGUAAGUCCAGGAGUUUGCUAGAAGUCUGCUGGAGCGUCGCCGAAGGUUCAUCGGAUGUUCACCGGAAGUUCGUCGGAAGUUCGCUAGAAGCUCGCUGGAAGAAGCGAUUGACGCACCGGAGCAAGUUGCAGUAAAUGUCUUAAGAAAUAUCGUAGUUAGCAUGUAGAUUAAGUUAGGAAUGGGAGGUGAUCCCAUUAACUUAAUCUGGGAGCAAUUGGGCCCUUGAUAGACCCAAAUUGGACCGAAUAGAUCAACCCAUUCGGACCAGAAUUCCUGCCAAGCGUUGGCACUGCUAGGGCCGGCGGUGGCAUCGCCCGGGAGAUGGUCUCCCAGGAAAGCUGGGUGGUGCAACCGCCUAGGUCAGGCGGUGGCACCGCCUGGGCUAAGUCUCCAAGCGAGACUGGGCGGUGGAACUGCCCCAGUCAGGUGGUGGCACCGCUCGAGCUCGAUCUCUGAGCUUUGUUAGGUGGUCGUACCGCCCAGUCUAGCGGUAGUGCUGCCAGGACCCCGGAAAUCCGAGAGGUGAUAUUUUUGAGCUCCAAAUUCAAACCAGUUUGGGGCCUAUAUAUACCCCACCCUUUCCUACAUUGAAAGGCACCAAAAGCUUGAUCUUAUUCUAUGAUUUUAGAGCUCAAAAGUGUUGUAAAGGCUAAAAGUUCUCCUCCCUCUUUUCUUCCAAGUUUUGAUCUUUUAAGAGAGGAGAGAAAAUUCUAUAAGGGUUGUCUCCUAAGCCCGUCAAAAGGAGUGAAACUGUAAAAGGGUGGUUAGCCUUCGCCUAUUGAAGGAAGGCCUCUAGUGGACAUCGGUGACCUCGUCGAAGGAGGAAGCCAAAAGUGGAUGUAGGUCAAGUUUGACCGAGCCACUAUAAAAUUACGGUGCUCUCUGGUUUGCAUUUCUUCUUACUGCUUACCUUACUGCAAACCUUCAUAUGUGCUUUACUUCCUUAUUACUUUUGCUGCACUCCUUUAUGAACUCGCUUUUAAGUUAAGUUUCCGAAAAUAAUUUUAUAUCGGAAACGAUUUCAUCGUACGAAUGUUGUUUUAAUCGUCGAAAGUUUUUCACUAUACUAAUUCCCCCCCCCCCUCUUAAUGCUCUUGAUCCUAAUAAUUCAGAAAUGGAUGAAUCACAUUCUAUUUGUGGUCCCACUACACUUUCUGUAUGUUUGAUAUGAUGUCCAAAGCUUUGGUUAUAUAUUUAUGUAUGCGCUUUAGAUAAGAAAUAUAUGAAUGCAAUGUCAAAGACGACGUUUCAGCUUCUGUUUCGUAUUCAUUCUUUGAUAUGCUCUGAAAUGGUUUAUAUAUCGUUGAUAUGUUCUGAAAUAUUUCCUAUGCUAUUGAUAUGUUCCGAAAUGCUCCCUAUGCCUCUGAAAUGUUCCUACGCUAUUGAUAUGCUUUGAAAUAUUUCAUAUGCCAUUGAUAUAUUCCAAAUUGUUCCAUUUGUCAUUGAUAUGCCGCGAAACAUUUUAUACGCCAUUAAUAAGCUCCAAAAUGUUUCAUUUGUUAUUGGGAUACUCCGAAAUAUUCCAUAUGCCAUUGAUAUGCUCCAGAACACUUCCUAUGCUAUUGAUAUGCUCCUAUUACUCUAUGCUUCAUUUGUUUUGGAACCAAAUAUGUUUCGAUUUAAAUGACACAUAUGGUUUUGACAUAUAUGAUUUUGUAUCUAAUGAGAUGGUAUCCUUGAGAAUUCUUGUAUUCUGCCUUGCAAUAUGAUACCUUACUUGUUUGAAACUGUUCUUUUUGUUCUAAAUAUGUUUUGUCACUUGCUGAGCUGUUUUUAGCUCACUCCGAUGUUAUAUAAAUCUUUUAGGUUAGCUUGUCACUCUUUGAGAUGUUUGAAUUGGGUUGAGACAGUGGAGAGCUAUUCAGAAUUAUGGGCAAGUCUUGUUGGUUGUUAUGCUAUUGUUGUAUAAGCAUAUUUUGUAUGUAAUGAAAUGUUGUCGAUGAACCAGAAUGAAUAUAUCAUGUAAAAGUGUUUGAAAAUCUCUCUUAUUUAUUUCGAAAUGUUAAGUCUAGUUUAUGAUGA